GGCUGCGUAGCUCAGUGGUAGAGCAGCGGUUUCAUAAGCCGCGCGCCGAG
rnacentral:tRNA from 1 species